AGGAGCUGGGCAAAGGCACUAUUAUAUCCACGGUGGAAAGGUCUCUCCUUUCACUGCAAUUCUGACAGAGACACCAUUGCCCAUUUGAUAUUUCCGCAUCAGCUGCCACAGUAAUAAAACAAUUCCAGAAAUGAGCCUCAAAUUCAAUAUUUUUGAAGGUCUACGACUCUAUGUUUUCUUUACUACCAAUUAUUAAACAAGUCCCUGUUUGUCCAAACUCUGAUGGGCAUUUCUGCUCUUUAAAAUCAAUUCUUGUGGCUAAUGAAACCAAUAUGUAUCGGAUAUUAGAUGAAAUUCCCAGAUUUCAAAGUCCAGUUGCCUAGGAAUUACUGAUUCUUUCCUUGUUUGCUUUAAUCUGGGGAGAUCAAAGGUAACCCAAAUAUGCUCAUGACUUGCUAUUUGUCAUUCAAUCUUAUUUCACUGGACGGAGGUUGAAGAUAAAGCUAAUUUGAAUCUCCAUCUCUCUCUACAUGCUUAACUGCAUAGAUAUUUGGCUCACCGAUGUGGUCUCUUUUCUUUUUUAGACAGAUUGUGGGCAUAAAGUCAUCGUGUACUUGCCACUACAGUCUUCCGGAAGCUGGUAAGCUCAAGGAUGUGAGACAGAAGGCUUAAAUUUUCAAGCAUGGGCAUCAAGCUUGGAUUAGUUCAGCACAGGCCAGUUAACCAUUGAAACGAUAAGAACCUUCCUUCGAUGAAACUUAUACUAAUUUUGUAUUAUCAUGACAAUUCUUGAAUUUGAGCUUGAAUUUGCAAUCAAA